UACGAAGGGGGCUAGCGUUGCUCGGAAUCACUGGGCGUAAAGCGCACGUAGGCGGCUUUCUAAGUCAGGGGUGAAAUCCUGGAGCUCAACUCCAGAACUGCCUUCGAUACUGGCGAUCUUGAGUCCGGGAGAGGUGAGUGGAACUCCGAGUGUAGAGGUGAAAUGCGCAGAUAUCAGGAGGAACACCGGUGGCGAAGGCGGGUCUCUGGGCCGAUACUGACGCUGAGGAGCGAAAGCGUGGGGAGCGAACAGG
rnacentral:rRNA from 1 species